GAUGAAGAACGUAGCGAAAUGCGAUAAGUAGUGUGAAUUGCAGAAUUCAGUGAAUCAUCGAAUCUUUGAACGCACAUUGCGCCCCCUGGUAUUCCGGGGGGCAUGCCUGUCCGAGCGUCAUUGCUGCCCAUCAAGCACGGCUUGUGUGUUGGGUCGUCGUCCCCCCCUCCGGGGGGGGACGGGCCCUAAAGGCAGCGGCGGCACCGCGUCCGAUCCUCGAGCGUAUGGGGCUUUGUCACCCGCUCUGUAGGCCCGGCCGGCGCUUGCCGAACGCAAAACAACCAUUCUUUCCAGGUUGACCUCGGAUCAGGUAGGGAUACCCGCUGAACUUAAGCAUAUCAAUAAGCGGAGGA
rnacentral:misc_RNA from 1 species